rnacentral:rRNA from 1 species
AGCAGCCGCGGUAAUUCCAGCUCCAAUAGCGUAUAUUAAGGUUGUUGCAGUUAAAAGCUCGUAGUUGAAUUUCGGGGUUAGUAGGUUGGUCAUGCCUCUGGUAUGUACUGGUCUCACUGAUUCCUCCUUCCUGAUGAACCUUAAUGCCAUUUAUUGGUGUUUUGGGGAAUUUGGACUGUUACUUUGAAAAAUUAGAGUGUUUAAAGCAAGCUAACGCUUGAAUACAUUAGCAUGGAAUAAUGAAAUAGGACGUUCGAACCUAUUUUGUUGGUUUCUAGGAUCAACGUAAUGAUUAAUAGGGAUAGUUGGGGGCAUUAGUAUUCAAUUGUCAGAGGUGAAAUUCUUGGAUUUAUUGAAGACUAACUACUGCGAAAGCAUUUGCCAAGGAUGUUUUCAUUAAUCAAGACGAAAGUUAGGGGAUCGAAGACGAUCAGAUACCGUCGUAGUCUUAACCAUAAACUAUGCCGACUAGGGAUCGGAUGAUGUAAUUUUUUAAUGACUCAUUCGGCGCCUUACGGGA